AACUUUCAGCAAUGGAUCUCUUGGUUCUGGCAUCGAUGAAGAACGCAGCGAAAUGCGAUAAGUAAUGCGAAUUGCAGAAUUCAGUGAGUCAUCUAAUCUUUGAACGCACAUUGCGCCCUUUAGUAUUCUGAAGGGCAUGCCUGUUCGAGCGUCAUUAUCACUAAUCAAGCCUGGCUUGCUGUUGGACCUCUUGUCGUUAAAAGACAGGUCCCAAAGAUAAUGACGGUGUUAUUAGAACCCUAGAUGCAACGAGCUUUAACUAGCACGCAUGAUAGUGGCCUUUUAACCCGGUCUUUUUUAAACCAAUUUUUAAAGGUUGACCUCGGAUCAGGUAGGAAUACCCGCUGAACUUAAGCAUAUCAAUAAGCGGAGGCU
rnacentral:misc_RNA from 1 species